CGCGGUAAUACCAGCUCUCCGAGUGGUAGGGGUGAUUAUUGGGCUUAAAGCGUCCGUAGCCGGCCUGGCAAGUCUUCCGUUAAAUCCAGCAACCUAAUUGUUGGGCUGCGGGGGAUACUGUUAGGCUAGGGGGCGGGAGAGGCCGACGGUAUUCUCGGGGUAGGGGUGAAAUCUUAUAAUCCCGAGAGGACCACCAGUGGCGAAGGCUGUCGGCUAGCACGCGCCUGACGGUGAGGGACGAAAGCUGGGGGAGCGAACCGGAUUAGAUACCCGGGUAGUCCCUGCUGUAAACGAUGCGAGCUAGGUGUUGGGGCGGCUACGAGCCGCUUCAGUGCCGCAGCGAAGGCGUUAAGCUCGCCGCCUGGGGAGUACG
rnacentral:rRNA from 1 species